UGUGCCCCAGUCAGAGAAUACUUCCAGCUCCAUUCGGAUUUAGAAGUGCAAGGCUGAGGGAGCACUGGCAGUUGACGGGGUAGGGGAAGGUGAUAUAGAAGUGAUCAUUUGAAUGUGCAAGUGUUUGGCAAAAGAGAGCUUUUAAGAUCAAGCUCUGCCAGGAAAUACAUGAGCAGCCAGCACAACUCAGUGUCUUGUGCUCCUGAGAAUGAUCUCUGCUUCCAGCACCAGCUUCCCAGUGGCUUCAAAGACAGCAAGUUGUUACACGAAGAUGCCAAAAUGUUUUUCAAAGAUACGGAGACAGCAGUGAUCCAUAGCCAACUCCAGGAGAAGCAGCUGGGGCUGGGCAAAAAGACACAGCACAAUUUACAAAACUUCACAGGUAAAACUUUAUUAGGCAGAACUGAAAUACUUCUGUUGGAGUUUGAUCAGUGAAACUACCACAAAGUGGCAGAGCAUCUUUCAGCAUCUUUAAGACUGGUCUCAACCUGAACGCACCUGGUCCUACUUUGCUUAUCACCUGCAGCAAGAGUGCAGCCUGAGAGAGCAUAGCAGGAGGACUUGCACUGGUUUCAGAGCUUCUCUACAUUAGAGUUAAAAACUUUGUAGGACACUUUAGGCAGCCGUCUAUCAAAACCCAUGUUUUAACAUUUCCUUCUCUAAGCAGCACAAGUAGGAGCCAAGGAGCAAGGGGGCUGUAAUAGAUCCUUAUUAGGAUCUACGUGGCUCGUAAUUAGUGCUAGGUUCUUGCCUGCUUGGUUUUAUAUAUACUAUAUAUAUAUAUAGUUAUUAUUAUUAUUUUUUUCACAGAAUAUUUUAUAAAGCAAUGAGAAAUUAGGUAAACAUCACAUGGCACUUCAGAUCUGCAUGUGGAGAUCUGCAUUCCAACUAUGGAGGCAGCAGGUCAGAGACUGCUGUUUAUGGCAGGGCUUGAUUAGAGGGAAAGACUCUUUUCAAACAUCAUCCAACAAAAUGGAGCUCUGCAGCAGUCAUCCCUUGAAGUGAGAGCUCAGGCUUAAUCCCUUCAGACUGAUCUGACAGCAAUUUACAAAAUGCAGCCUUGUUAGUGUGAUGGUUGAAAAGUUUUCUUGCUUUUUGUCUGUUCUGUGAGAUUCAGAUUUUCAUUUUUUCUGUAACUGGCAUUUGAUUCUGGAGCCGCAGUUCACAUCAGAAACAGCCUUUCAAACUCUGCAUCUUUAGUCUGGUAUUGAUGACUUGUAGCUAUUGGACAUCACUUUAAAAAGAGACAGGAAUAAGUCCUUCACAGCCAGACAAGAGACACCAGGCAGUGUUAGCUAGCCAUGGGCCAUACUCCGCAAAGGUCUGUGAGUGCUGCCUUUCUUAGGCAGGAGUCGAAGCCUGGCAUUGGGAUUUCACCACACAGAUGCAGUUCAAGCCACUGACAGUUGUGUCACCGAGCUUUCAAACCCUGCUCACUGCUCUGAAAAACAUCCAGAAACAUCUGACUCUGCAGUGAAUAACAACAGAAAUGUUUGGCACUUCGGAAGCAGUUAACAUCUGCUCAUAUAUUAGUUAAUUAACAGAGUAAUAUUAAUCUUUGGAGAAGCCUUAUCUUUCAUCUGAUGUAAACAAUGAAAGGAGAUAGCACUGCUGACACAAGGAUUGCCCAGGCUGUACACUGAUCUUGUCAUUUUAAAUUAAAAAUAUGUCCAGAAAGAGCUGCAUUUUGAAGCCUCCUACCGACUUCACCCUAUCUUGGCUAAGGGCCCAAGUGUAACUUGUCCACAUCAGUCAUGCCCCAUUUGUUUUAUGAAAGAUUCAUUUUUUCUUGAUCCUUCCUAAACGACACAGUGAAGACAGAAUUAGCGCCUGUUCCACAGAUCGCACAAAUAGGUAUAUAUGCUGGCUUUGCAUGUGUGUAUUUGACAAGUUUUCCCCCACAACUGUUUAGAAUCAGUUAGAAACAAAGGGACUCGUCAGCUAUUAGUCCCUUUAAAGUAAAUGUCACGAACUCCUUUAGCAGUUGUACCUGCACACCUCCUCCAAUACUGAACAUUUUUCUCUAACAACACUUCCACCAGGAAGGAACGCUGUAUUGUCAUCAUUGUAAUGACACAGAACCAAGAUACACAAGAUAAA